rnacentral:snRNA from 1 species
AUACUUACCUGGCAGGGGAGGUACCAUGAUCACGAAGGUGGUUUUCCCAGGGCAAGGCUUAUCCAUUGCACUCCGGAUGUGCUGACCCCUGCGAUUUCCCCAAAUGUGGGAAACUCGACUGCAUAAUUUGUGGUGUAUAGAAUAAUGAUACAGCAUUAACAGCAC